rnacentral:rRNA from 1 species
GUCGAGCGGACGGAUGGGAGCUUGCUCCCUGAAGUCAGCGGCGGACGGGUGAGUAACACGUGGGCAACCUGCCUGUAAGACUGGGAUAACUUCGGGAAACCGGAGCUAAUACCGGAUAAUGCAUAUCCUCUCAUGGGGAUAUGCUGAAAGAUGGUUUCGGCUAUCACUUACAGAUGGGCCCGCGGCGCAUUAGCUAGUUGGUGAGGUAACGGCUCACCAAGGCAACGAUGCGUAGCCGACCUGAGAGGGUGAUCGGCCACACUGGGACUGAGACACGGCCCAGACUCCUACGGGAGGCAGCAGUAGGGAAUCUUCCGCAAUGGACGAAAGUCUGACGGAGCAACGCCGCGUGAGUGAUGAAGGUUUUCGGAUCGUAAAACUCUGUUGUCAGGGAAGAACAAGUGCCGGAGUAACUGCCGGCACCUUGACGGUACCUGACCAGAAAGCCACGGCUAACUACGUGCCAGCAGCCGCGGUAAUACGUAGGUGGCAAGCGUUGUCCGGAAUUAUUGGGCGUAAAGCGCGCGCAGGCGGUCUCUUAAGUCUGAUGUGAAAGCCCACGGCUCAACCGUGGAGGGUCAUUGGAAACUGGGGGACUUGAGUGCAGAAGAGGAAAGUGGAAUUCCACGUGUAGCGGUGAAAUGCGUAGAGAUGUGGAGGAACACCAGUGGCGAAGGCGACUUUCUGGUCUGUAACUGACGCUGAGGCGCGAAAGCGUGGGGAGCAAACAGGAUUAGAUACCCUG